rnacentral:rRNA from 1 species
GCAGCAGCCACGGUAAUACGUAGGGUGCAAGCGUUAAUCGGAAUUACUGGGCGUAAAGCGUGCGCAGGCGGUUAUAUAAGUCAGAUGUGAAAUCCCCGGGCUCAACCUGGGAACUGCAUUCGAGACUGUAUGGCUAGAGUGUGUCAGAGGGGGGUAGAAUUCCACGUGUAGCAGUGAAAUGCGUAGAUAUGAGGAGGAAUACCGAUGGCGAAGGCAGCCCCCUGGGAUAACACUGACGCUCAUGCACGAAAGCGUGGGGAGCAAACAGGAUUAGAUACCCCGGUAGUCCCUGUCUCUUAUAC